GGUUGAUGUAUGUUAAAAGAGAAUUGUGAGGUAGCAUUCUUGGGAGUCGCUUUCACGUGGUUUUUGGAUUUGUGACCCCACACCACAAUCCGUGUAACCGUGUUCCUGUGUAGCCUAUGCCAACAAGACACACACCCUCAGACGAGUUUCAUAGGUUGAAAAUUUGAUGUUUUAUUUAGGAAAGAAAAGAGAAAAAAAAAAACGCGUUGUGGGAGAGGAGAAGAACUAUUCCAAUUCAAACAACGCAAAGGUAUUUGAGGUUUGAGGUUUGAGGUUUGAGGUUUGAGGUUUGAGAGUGAGUGGUGUUUUAGGUGCUGUGCCGUACUUGCACUGUGUCAGCAAAAUCUGACAAGACUAGAAUCUUGAUAGAUUGUGGGGAACAGAAAAGAAAAGGGUACCAGAUUGUUCCCAUUGAGGAAUAUUGAGUUUCUUCUCUCAAUCAGGGUUGUGUGAUCUAGAAAUUGGAACUCGUGUGGUGAUGUGGGUGUUGCUCAAAAUCACUUUUUUUGAUCUGGGUUGUGAUUUUGAUGAGUGACAAUUGAGUUGAGACAUUGGUUUUGGUUGGUAAAGUUUGGUGAAUACAAUACAACUAUCUUCAUCAUCAUCACAAGUUUUCAUCUUUACUUGGGUUCUAAGAAUUUUUGGGGUUGCACCAUACAUAGUAUAUGGUUAUUUUUGUUAUCAUGGUAUCUUAAAGUUUAGAUUUUUUUGUUUGUGUUGAGAUUGGCACGUGACAUGUCCGCGGUGUCGCCGUCUCCGGCGUCAUCCACGGCUGCGCCACCGCCACAAACACCACCUUCUUCCAACACUACUAGUCCCUCGCCGUCCACCCCCACCGCCACUCCACCGCCGCAACAACCCCCUUCUCCCCUUUCACCGCCUCCAUCAACCCCACCUCCGGCGUCGCCGCCGCCUGCUCCGCUGUUACCGCCUCCCCCCAUGUCUGGAACUUCCCCUCCAUUAGCACCUCCACCAUCACCACCGCCGUCUUCACCACCGCCAACUUCUCCGGCGCCGCCACCAGUUCCACCUAGCUCUCCACCACCGCCACCACCGUCAGCACCGGUUCCAUCAAGAAGCCCUCCACCGCCCCCACCAUCUAACAAUACAUCUCCACCACCAUCAUCACCACCGCCACAGCCAUCAGCACCACCACCAAACAACUCAUCAUCACCACCACCGCGAAAUUCGCCACCUCCUCCGGCCGCCACGCCGCCACGGUCCCCGCCACCUAAAAAUUCACCACCCCCUACGACAGCACCACCCCCCAGAAACUCCACUCGGUCGCCGCCGCCACCGGUUAACUCACCGCCACCGCCGGCAGCUGUGCCGCCGACAAGGUCAUCGCCGCCACCGGCACCAGCACCAUCCACCCCUCCUCCUAGGAUUAGUCCUCCUCCUACACCAAGUUCUCAACCAAUUCCACCUUCAAAUUCUACACCAAGAUCAUCACCUCCACCACCACCUUCUAUUAUUCAAUUGUCUCCACCGCCGUCGCGAGUUUCAUCACCACCGCCACCGCCGCCGCAGAAUGGGACAGAAAACUCAAGCCCCGGUGAAGGUGGAGGAGGAAUUGGCAUUGGUGGUGUAAUUGGUAUUAGUGUGGCUGGAAUUCUGCUGCUUGGCUUCAUUGGUGUUCUUAUAUGGUGCAUGAGGAGGCAAAAGAAAAAGGUGCCUUUGAAUGGUGGUUAUGUCAUGCCAUCCACUCUCGCUUCAUCCCCUGAAUCAGAUUCAUCCUUCUUUAAGACACACUCCUCGGCUCCUCUUGUACAAAGUGGCUCUGGCAGUGAUGUUUUGUACACACCAUCUGACCCUAGUGGACUAGGCCAUUCAAGGUCAUGGUUUUCAUACGAAGAACUAAUCAAGGCCACAAAUGGUUUCUCAACUCAAAAUCUUUUGGGUGAGGGUGGGUUUGGUUGUGUGUAUAAAGGAUACCUUCCUGAUGGGAGAGAGAUAGCAGUCAAACAGCUGAAGAUUGGAGGAGGUCAGGGGGAGAGAGAAUUCAAGGCUGAAGUCGAAAUUAUUAGUCGCAUACAUCAUCGCCAUUUGGUUUCUUUAGUGGGAUACUGCAUUGAAGACACCAGGAGACUACUUGUCUAUGACUAUGUCCCUAACAAUACCCUUUAUUUUCAUCUGCAAGGGGAAGGUCAGCCUGUGCUAGAAUGGACAAACCGUGUUAAAAUUGCAGCCGGUGCAGCCCGGGGAAUAGCUUAUCUCCAUGAAGACUGCAACCCUCGGAUCAUCCAUAGGGAUAUCAAGUCAUCAAACAUUCUUUUGGACUACAACUAUGAAGCUCGGGUCUCAGAUUUUGGGCUAGCCAAAUUAGCUCUUGAUGCAAAUACGCACAUAACCACACGUGUCAUGGGAACUUUUGGGUAUAUGGCCCCUGAAUAUGCAUCAAGUGGAAAAUUGACUGAGAAGUCUGAUGUAUAUUCUUUUGGAGUUGUACUUUUGGAGCUCAUUACUGGAAGGAAGCCAGUUGAUGCAUCCCAACCUUUGGGAGAUGAAAGCUUAGUUGAAUGGGCUCGACCUUUGCUGAGUCACGCACUUGAUACUGAGGAUUUCGAUAAUUUGGCGGAUCUAAGGCUAGAAAAGAAUUACGUUGAGAGUGAAUUGUAUUGCAUGAUUGAAGUUGCUGCUGCUUGUGUGCGGCAUUCAGCUGCAAAGAGACCUCGCAUGGGACAGGUUGUUAGAGCAUUCGAUAGCUUAGCAGGUUCAGAUCUAACUAAUGGAAUGCGACUUGGGGAAAGCGAGGUGUUUGACUCUGCACAGCAAUCUGCAGAAAUAAGAUUAUUUCGGAGAAUGGCAUUUGGUAGUCAAAAUUAUAGCACAGACUUCUUUAGCCAUGCUAGUUUGAAUCCAUGAAAGGCCACUGUACAUACUGGAAGAGCUUAUUUUGGACCAAAUGAUCUUAUGAUGCUAAACCAAAGGGGGCUUUGGUUGUGUUAUGUUGGUUGCAGAUAUGGCUAAGGUGCACUGUUGCUUUUGAUUCUGGAAUUGACUGCAUCAGGACUAGGAGCAGUGCUACUCGGGACCAAGCACUCUUGUUGGAAACUAUCAAAUGGACCCAUGCUUGAGUAACUAUGAAAAAUAUGGAAGCUUAUCAAAUUGACUUGACCAACCAAUUAAUACUUCUGCAAUAUUUUAUCAUUUAUUGGAAUUCAACCAAAAGCUUUAGAGACAGUACUUGAGUCUACUCAUUCAAUUCCCACUUGCUGUUGGUAGAUGAGGUCAUAAAUUAUUGCUUCAUGGGAAAGUCUUCUUUUCAGAGUUGGGUCAAGCUCCGAGUUAUUUAAUUGUUAGAAUUUUGUAAUUAUUUUAAGCAUCGAGUUGGACCAUUGAAAUUGUAAAGAAAAGCGUGUUUGUUAACUUUGAAUGCAAGAAUUCUGGCCUCAAUGUUCGGAUUCAUCUUUUUACAAAGAAUUAUUACUAAAACAAUCACAUUGGCUUUGUGUGUAGUGUGUUCUUCAAAUGAUUAACUUAUGCUAUGGUUGAAAAGUUUAGUGAUGUUUUCACGCAUUUUUUAGUUUAUAUGCAUCCUAAACAAAAGCCCAAAUCAUAUUUACCAAUAAAAUAAAAGGGUUAUUGUUUA